rnacentral:misc_RNA from 1 species
AACGCACGAGACCUGCGGACCUGCGGAGGGAUCAUUAUAGAGUUUUUAACUCCCAAACCCAUGUGAACUUACCUUUGUUGCCUCGGCGGAGCCUACCCGGUACCUACCCUGUAGCGCCCCGCCGGUGGACUUCUAAACUAUUGUUAUUUUAAUGAUAUCUGAGAGUCUUAUUUUAAUAAGUCAAAACUUUCAACAAUGGAUCUCU